UGGCUUUUGAAUAUGUUCACAGAUGGAGACUCCAAACCUCUCUGAGAAACCUCUGCCAUUGCUCAGUCACCCUCAUAGGAAAAAGUGUUUCCUGAUGUUCAGAUGGAAACUUCCAGGUUUCAGUUGAUGCCCAUUGCCUCUUGUCCUAUUCACUGGGCACCACCGAAAAGAGCAUGGCUCCACCUUCUGUGCACCUUCCCUUCAGGAAGAAAAAUGACUAAAACUUGAAGUCAGACUCUGACAUGCUUGAAUACCAUAUGCCUGCACUAUUGAGAGACUGGAGCAGAGUAUCUGGAGAAAGAUGAGAGAGUGUGGGUGGCAAUAGAAAAAACAACCACGACUAUAAUUUCUGGAAAUUAUUUUGACUGAAUGAAUGCAGUGAAGACAUCUCAUGGGAAUAGGAGAGGUCUUACAGACAAUACCUGACUGACUCUUCAGGCAAAAAAAAAUCAAGACACACCAAGAAAAUAGAAAUAUGACCCUAAAAAUCCAGCCUGGGAUGCCUUAGAAUGGAUGUGAAAGUCCAGGCAAAUGAAGGCUGCUCAAGCACUAGUUGCUUUAUAAACCUAAGAGGGUGAGAGGGAAAAGAUGGGCAGAAAAUAUCAAAGGCUUUACUGUGGUUCUUAACCUCAUUG